UACGUAGGGGGCUAGCGUUAUCCGGAAUUACUGGUCGUAAAGGGUGCGUAGGCGGUCUUUCAAGCCAGAAGUGAAAGGCUACGGCUCAACCGUAGUAAGCUUUUGGAACUGUAAGACUUGAGUGCAGGAGAGGAGAGUGGAAUUCCUAGUGUAGCGGUGAAAUGCGUAGAUAUUAGGAGGAACACCAGUUGCGAAGGCGGCUCUCUGGACUGUAACUGACACUGAGGCACGAAAGCGUGGGGAGCAAACAGGAUUAGAUACCCUGGUAGUCCCU
rnacentral:rRNA from 1 species